AUAGCUCAGUGGUUUGAGCAUUGGUCUGUUAAACCAAGGGUUGUGAGUUCAAUCAUU
rnacentral:tRNA from 1 species